GUCGUACGCCACAAAGUAUCGCCUCAGUUUGUCAAAGUCCCGCACUGAGUCUGGCAGGAAAAGCUUCACCCCGCUGAAGAUGUCCAGCAGCGUCUACGGGAGAAACACAAACCGUCAGCAGAGGAAACGCACUCGUCAGCGUUACUUUAUAUGAACGAAUGUGAGCAGAGUGCUGCAGUUUUAAGCACUAUUCAAGUCUGCAGAUGGAGUUCCUGGUUCAGCUUGCAGCUACUGAGCAGUGAGGGAUUAUUAACAUCAGCUGACAUGUCUGACCUCUCAUGUUUAGCGACGCCAUCGUGUUCCCAGAUAUCAGCUGUUAAUUUGUUAGUGCAACGUUAUGAGACACUGUAGUUUUCCUUUAAAUAACAUAAUAAAGAGCCAUUAAAUCUUUUUA